rnacentral:rRNA from 1 species
GCCAAAAUUAAGGUGAAACCGCGAAAGGCUCAUUAAAUCAGUUAUGGUUCCUUAGAUUGUACCCACAUUUACUUGGAUAACUGUGGUAAUUCUAGAGCUAAUACAUGCAAACAGAGCUCUGACCGGGGACGGAAAGAGUGCUUUUAUUAGAUCAAAACCAAUCGGCCGGGCUUGUAACGUUUAGGCGUUACAUGUUCCGUCGCACAUGUUUGGUGAUUCUGAAUAACUUUUGGCUGAUCGCACGGUCUUGCACCGGCGACGUAUCUUUCAAAUGUCUGCCUUAUCAACUGUCGAUGGUAGGUUCUGCGCCUACCAUGGUUGUAACGGGUAACGGGGAAUCAGGGUUCGAUUCCGGAGAGGGAGCCUGAGAAACGGCUACCACAUCCAAGGAAGGCAGCAGGCGCGCAAAUUACCCACUCCCGGCACGGGGAGGUAGUGACGAAAAAUAACGAUACGGGACUCAUCCGAGGCCCCGUAAUCGGAAUGAGUACACUUUAAAUCCUUUAACAAGGACCAAUUGGAGGGCAAGUCAGGUGCCAGCAGCCGCGGUAAUUCCUGCUCCAAUAGCGUAUAUUAAAGUUGUUGCGGUUAAAAAGCUCGUAGUUGAAUUUGUGUUCCGCACUGUCGGUUCACCGCCCGCGGUGUUAACUGGCAUGUUGCGGAACGUCCUGCCGGUGGAUGCUCUGUUCUUUGUUAAUUUCCCCAUUUAUAUAUAUGUGUGUGUGUGUKCAUSUKKUYRYRYWWUAYAMCAUUAUAUAUAUUUUAAGUGGCGUGAGAUGGCAUAUGUAUCAUCAUCCGAGUAAAUAAUCCUGUCGCGGUGCUCUUAAUUGAGUGUCGAGGUGGGCCGGCACGUUUACUUUGAACAAAUUAGAGUGCUUAAAGCAGGCUAAAAUAUUGCCUGAAUACUGUGUGCAUGGAAUAAUAGAACAGGACCUCGGUUCUAUUUUGUUGGUUUUUUCGGAACCCCGAGGUAAUGAUUAAUAGGGACAGAUGGGGGCAUUCGUAUUGCGACGUUAGAGGUGAAAUUCUUGGAUCGUCGCAGGACGGACAGAAGCGAAAGCAUUUGCCAAAAAUGUUUUCAUUAAUCAAGAACGAAAGUCAGAGGUCCGAAGGCGAUCARAUACCGCCCUAGUUCUGACCAUAAACGAUGCCAGCUAGCGAUCCGCCGACGUUCCUCCGAUGACUCGGCGGGCAGCUUCCGGGAAACCAAAGCUUUUGGGUUCCGGGGGAAGUAUGGUUGCAAAGCUGAAACUUAAAGGAAUUGACGGAAGGGCACCACCAGCAGUGGAGCCUGCGGCUUAAUUUGACUCAACACGGGGAAUUUUACCAGGCCCGGACACCGGAAGGAUUGACAGAUUGAGAGCUCUUUCUUGAUUCGGUGGGUGGUGGUGCAUGGCCGUUCUUAGUUCGUGGUGUGAAUUGUCUGGUUUAUUCCGUUAACGAACGAGACUCUAGCCUGCUAACUAGGCGUAAACUUAACCGGUAUCCUGAAGGCUCGUGUCUCUCGCUUUCUGGUGUAAACWUAUUUGUUGUGAUGUGUGUGUGUKKWKUAYUGUUUUWUCGCAGYACWWMWWWWAYAUAUAUGYUAUGGCAUUAUGGUGCAUACGGUUCGAGAGUUUCACGGUUUUUACUACCGGCGUAUAUAUAAAUCUUCUUAGAGGGACAGGCGGCGUCUAGCCGCACGAGAUUGAGCAAUAAYAGGUCAGUGAUGCCCUUAGAUGUUCUGGGCCGCACGCGCGCUACACUGAAGGAAUCAGCGUGUCUUCCCAGGCCGAAAGGUCCGGGUAACCCGAUGAACCUCCUUCGUGCUAGGGAUUGGGGCUUGCAAUUGUUCCCCAUGAACGAGGAAUUCCUAGUAAGCACGAGUCAUAAGCUCGUGUUGAUUACGUCCCUGCCCUUUGUACACACCGCCCGUCGCUACUACCGAUUGAACGAUUUAGUGAGGUCUUCGGACUGGUACGCGGUUUACGUUUCGACGUAAUCGAUGUCG